AGUGAACGCUGGCGGUAGGCCUAACACAUGCAAGUCGAACGGCAGCACAGUAAGAGCUUGCUCUUACGGGUGGCGAGUGGCGGACGGGUGAGGAAUACAUCGGAAUCUACUUUUUCGUGGGGGAUAACGUAGGGAAACUUACGCUAAUACCGCAUACGACCUACGGGUGAAAGCAGGGGAUCUUCGGACCUUGCGCGAUUGAAUGAGCCGAUGUCGGAUUAGCUAGUUGGCGGGGUAAAGGCCCACCAAGGCGACGAUCCGUAGCUGGUCUGAGAGGAUGAUCCGCCACACUGGACCUGAGACGCGGUCCAGACUCCUACGGGAGGCAGCAGUGGGGAAUAUUGGACACUGGGCGCAAGCCUGAUCCAGCCAUACCGCGUGGGUGAAGAAGGCCUUCGGGUUGUAAAGCCCUUUUGUUGGGAAAGAAAAGCAGCAGGUUAAUACCCCGCUGUUCUGACGGUACCCAAAGAAUAAGCACCGGCUAACUUCGU
rnacentral:rRNA from 1 species